rnacentral:rRNA from 1 species
GGUUAAGCGACUAAGCGUACACGGUGGAUGCCCUGGCAGUCAGAGGCGAUGAAGGACGUGCUAAUCUGCGAUAAGCGUCGGUGAGGUGAUAUGAACCGUUAUAACCGGCGAUUUCCGAAUGGGGAAACCCAGUGUGUUUCGACACACUAUCAUUAACUGAAUCCAUAGGUUAAUGAGGCGAACCGGGGGAACUGAAACAUCUAAGUACCCCGAGGAAAAGAAAUCAACCGAGAUUCCCCCAGUAGCGGCGAGCGAACGGGGAGGAGCCCAGAGCCUGAAUCAGUGUGUGUGUUAGUGGAAGCGUCUGGAAAGGCGCGCGAUACAGGGUGACAGCCCCGUACACAAAAAUGCACAUAUUGUGAGCUCGAUGAGUAGGGCGGGACACGUGGUAUCCUGUCUGAAUAUGGGGGACCAUCCUCCAAGGCUAAAUACUCCUGACUGACCGAUAGUGAACCAGUACCGUGAGGGAAAGGCGAAAAGAACCCCGGCGAGGGGAGUGAAAAAGAACCUGAAACCGUGUACGUACAAGCAGUGGGAGCCUCUUAAUGGGGUGACUGCGUACCUUUUGUAUAAUGGGUCAGCGACUUAUAUUCUGUAGCAAGGUUAACCGAAUAGGGGAGCCGAAGGGAAACCGAGUCUUAACUGGGCGUUAAGUUGCAGGGUAUAGACCCGAAACCCGGUGAUCUAGCCAUGGGCAGGUUGAAGGUUGGGUAACACUAACUGGAGGACCGAACCGACUAAUGUUGAAAAAUUAGCGGAUGACUUGUGGCUGGGGGUGAAAGGCCAAUCAAACCGGGAGAUAGCUGGUUCUCCCCGAAAGCUAUUUAGGUAGCGCCUCGUGAAUUCAUCUCCGGGGGUAGAGCACUGUUUCGGCAAGGGGGUCAUCCCGACUUACCAACCCGAUGCAAACUGCGAAUACCGGAGAAUGUUAUCACGGGAGACACACGGCGGGUGCUAACGUCCGUCGUGAAGAGGGAAACAACCCAGACCGCCAGCUAAGGUCCCAAAGUCAUGGUUAAGUGGGAAACGAUGUGGGAAGGCCCAGACAGCCAGGAUGUUGGCUUAGAAGCAGCCAUCAUUUAAAGAAAGCGUAAUAGCUCACUGGUCGAGUCGGCCUGCGCGGAAGAUGUAACGGGGCUAAACCAUGCACCGAAGCUGCGGCAGCGACGCUUAUGCGUUGUUGGGUAGGGGAGCGUUCUGUAAGCCUGUGAAGGUGUGCUGUGAGGCAUGCUGGAGGUAUCAGAAGUGCGAAUGCUGACAUAAGUAACGAUAAAGCGGGUGAAAAGCCCGCUCGCCGGAAGACCAAGGGUUCCUGUCCAACGUUAAUCGGGGCAGGGUGAGUCGACCCCUAAGGCGAGGCCGAAAGGCGUAGUCGAUGGGAAACAGGUUAAUAUUCCUGUACUUGGUGUUACUGCGAAGGGGGGACGGAGAAGGCUAUGUUGGCCGGGCGACGGUUGUCCCGGUUUAAGCGUGUAGGCUGGUUUUCCAGGCAAAUCCGGAAAACCAAGGCUGAGGCGUGAUGACGAGGCACUACGGUGCUGAAGCAACAAAUGCCCUGCUUCCAGGAAAAGCCUCUAAGCAUCAGGUAACAUCAAAUCGUACCCCAAACCGACACAGGUGGUCAGGUAGAGAAUACCAAGGCGCUUGAGAGAACUCGGGUGAAGGAACUAGGCAAAAUGGUGCCGUAACUUCGGGAGAAGGCACGCUGAUAUGUAGGUGAAGCGACUUGCUCGUGGAGCUGAAAUCAGUCGAAGAUACCAGCUGGCUGCAACUGUUUAUUAAAAACACAGCACUGUGCAAACACGAAAGUGGACGUAUACGGUGUGACGCCUGCCCGGUGCCGGAAGGUUAAUUGAUGGGGUUAGCGGUAACGCGAAGCUCUUGAUCGAAGCCCCGGUAAACGGCGGCCGUAACUAUAACGGUCCUAAGGUAGCGAAAUUCCUUGUCGGGUAAGUUCCGACCUGCACGAAUGGCGUAAUGAUGGCCAGGCUGUCUCCACCCGAGACUCAGUGAAAUUGAACUCGCUGUGAAGAUGCAGUGUACCCGCGGCAAGACGGAAAGACCCCGUGAACCUUUACUAUAGCUUGACACUGAACAUUGAGCCUUGAUGUGUAGGAUAGGUGGGAGGCUUUGAAGUGUGGACGCCAGUCUGCAUGGAGCCGACCUUGAAAUACCACCCUUUAAUGUUUGAUGUUCUAACGUUGGCCCGUAAUCCGGGUUGCGGACAGUGUCUGGUGGGUAGUUUGACUGGGGCGGUCUCCUCCUAAAGAGUAACGGAGGAGCACGAAGGUUGGCUAAUCCUGGUCGGACAUCAGGAGGUUAGUGCAAUGGCAUAAGCCAGCUUGACUGCGAGCGUGACGGCGCGAGCAGGUGCGAAAGCAGGUCAUAGUGAUCCGGUGGUUCUGAAUGGAAGGGCCAUCGCUCAACGGAUAAAAGGUACUCCGGGGAUAACAGGCUGAUACCGCCCAAGAGUUCAUAUCGACGGCGGUGUUUGGCACCUCGAUGUCGGCUCAUCACAUCCUGGGGCUGAAGUAGGUCCCAAGGGUAUGGCUGUUCGCCAUUUAAAGUGGUACGCGAGCUGGGUUUAGAACGUCGUGAGACAGUUCGGUCCCUAUCUGCCGUGGGCGCUGGAGAACUGAGGGGGGCUGCUCCUAGUACGAGAGGACCGGAGUGGACGCAUCACUGGUGUUCGGGUUGUCAUGCCAAUGGCACUGCCCGGUAGCUAAAUGCGGAAGAGAUAAGUGCUGAAAGCAUCUAAGCACGAAACUUGCCCCGAGAUGAGUUCUCCCUGAGACUUAGAGUCUCCUGAAGGAACGUUGAAGACGACGACGUUGAUAGGCCGGGUGUGUAAGCGCAGCGAUGCGUUGAGCUAACCGGUACUAAUGAACCGUGAGGCUUAACCUU